rnacentral:pre_miRNA from 1 species
AGGAGGAACAACCACAGUGGUGGGGCCAGCUCUGGAGCCCUGGAUUCAGCUCCUGCAGUAACUUCAGAGCUCUCAGUCUGCAGGGGCCUGGAUGUUCCAGGGCGGG